rnacentral:lncRNA from 1 species
UGAGAAGGAAUUUUGUCCCAAUCUUAUGGAGGAUGAUGGAUUAAACGUAUGUAUGAUUGAUGACAUACUUUAACACGUACAAAUUCAAAAUUUAAAGUCAGUGAAUUUUCUGACUAUGUUAUCGAAUUUAAUUUUGAUAUUGUAGCUUUGCCUCAACAUACAGUUGUUGCUUGCUAGUGCAGCACCAUCAAGAUUCACAUAGAAAAUAUGGACUAUGAAAUGAAAUAUGCCCAAUUUUUGAAUACAUGAGAAUCUUGAUGAUGCUGCAUUGGCAAAUUGAUGACUUGAUUCUUUAAUUCUACAAGAAAAUUUGGGCAAUUUAUCUUUAUUUGGUAAGUUUUCUUUUGGACUAUGAUUAAUUCUAUAUGAUUAUUGAUUAUUAAUUACUUAUUUUGGUUAAUAUGUUGUAGUUUUCUUGAUAUAAAAUACCUCAUGAAUUAAUUAUUAAGUUCUUAAAUUAUGUUUCUUCACCUUGCGAUUUCUUCUAAAAAUUUGUGUGAUAUUUAAAGAUGCAUAACUAAUUUUCUUGAUAAUCCUAACAAUGCAAUUUCAAAUAAAUAUAGGUCUUUGAAGCAGAAGGUGGAGAAUUCGUGGCUAAAAUAUAGCUAUAGAGAGCAGCACAUAGUAGAAUAGUUGCUUGCAAAAGGAAGGAGUUAGGAAGAAGUUUUUUAUGUAUAUUUUCUUGUUAAUAUGUAUUUUUUUUUUUGUGAAAUCAAUUAUAAUACAUAAAUUAAGAAUUACUUUUGUUAAAACAAUUUAAUCUAGAUUAAUAUGCUGAAGCACUUUAAAUUGAUCCCUCCAUUAAUUAUUGA